AGCAUAUAACUAAGCGGAGGAAAAGAAACUAACCAGGAUUCCCCCAGUAACGGCGAGUGAAGCGGGAAGAGCUCAUGUUUGAAAUCCAGCUCUCAACGGUGCUGGAGUUGUAACCUAGAGGUGCGUGUUGCCUGCCGGGGGGACCGCGGCCAAGUCCGAUUUGAAAAGGGCACCAAGGAGGGUGGCAGUCCCGUUCGUGCCGCAGUUCCGCCGGCGAUGUGGCCCGCUUCCAACGAGUCGAGUUGCUUGGGAUUGCAGCUCAAAGUGGGUGGUAAACUCCAUCCAAAGCUAAACACGUGUGGGAGACCGAUAGCGAACAAGUACCGUGAGGGAAAGAUGCAAAGAACUUUGAAAAGAGAGUCAAAGAGUGCCUGAAAUUGCUGAGAGGGAAGCGAAGGAAAGUAGUGUCGGUCGUGGGGAUCUCGCACACGGGGAGCGGCCCGAUCAUCAUUCUUUGGUGGUCGGGCCCUCUCCGUUAUCCCCCGCACUGUCAGGGGCGGGUGCGCGGAUUGGCCGAGGCGGCGGCCAGAGGUAAAGGUGUUCCGAGGUAACAGCCGGACGAAUGCGGU
rnacentral:rRNA from 1 species